GACAAAUAUAGUAAGUCUAUAUUUAAGCUUUUCUCAAUUUUGUUUACACCACCGCCUUGAAUAAACUAAAAAUAUGAGUUCGCAAAGAAAAACGAUGUUUUUAACUUUCAGUAUAAUUUUAACAUGCCUUAUUCGUUAUGCAAUGUCAUUGGAAUGCUUUACUUGUACAUCGUAUGAGAACGAGACAUGUGGUGUGAAGUUUAAUAGGUCGGAGACGAAAGUCGAACCUUGCUGUGCCGCUUGUAAUGCAUGCUUCAAAGCACGAGUCGUGACGCCAGAAAAUAAAACUAAAGUGAUCCGGUCGUGUGGCACUGAUUACCACUGCCAGUUGUACGAUCGUGAGGGAUGUCGUACUUGUAAUAAGAACCUAUGCAAUGGCUCACCAAGGAGUGCUACCCAGUCAGGCUUUAUGAUAGCUGUGUUUAUUUGCAAGUUUUUCAAAUAUAAUGUAUUUUGAGGAAAA